rnacentral:rRNA from 1 species
GACGAACGCUGGCGGCGUGCUUAACACAUGCAAGUCGAACGAAGAGCGAUGGAGGCUUGCUUCUAUCACUCUUAGUGGCGAACGGGUGAGUAACGCGUAAUCAACCUGCCCUUCAGAGGGGGACAACAGUUGGAAACGACUGCUAAUGCCGCAUCCGAUCUGACCUCGGCAUCGAGGAUAGAUGAAAGGUGGCCUCUAUUUUUAAGCUAUCACUGCAGGAGGGGAUUUGGUCUGAUUAGCUAGUUGGAGGGGUAACGGCCCACCAAGGCGAGGAUCAGUAGCCGGUCUGAGAGGAUGAACGGCCCCAUUGGGACUGAGACACGGCCCAGACUCCCACGGGAGGCAGCAGUGGGGAAUCUUCCGCAAUGGACGAAAGUCUGACGGAGCAACGCCGCGUGAGUGAUGACGGCCGUCGGGUUGGAAAGCUCUGUUAAUCGGGACGAAAGGCCUUCUUGCGAAUAGUUAGAAGGAUUGACGGUACCGGAAUAGAAAGCCACGGCUAACUACGUG